UACGAAGGGGGGCUAGCGUUGCUCGGAAUUACUGGGCGUAAAGGGCGCGUAGGCGGACAGUUUAGUCAGAGGUGAAAGCCCAGGGCUCAACCCUGGAAUUGCCUUUGAUACUGACUGUCUUGAGUACGGGAGAGGUGAGUGGAACUCCGAGUGUAGAGGUGAAAUUCGUAGAUAUUCGGAAGAACACCAGUGGCGAAGGCGACUCACUGGCCCGUUACUGACGCUGAGGCGCGAAAGCGUGGGGAGCAAACAGG
rnacentral:rRNA from 1 species